rnacentral:rRNA from 1 species
GACUCUUGGCAACGGAUAUCUCGGCUCACGCAUCGAUGAAGAACGUAGCAAAAUGCGAUACUUGGUGUGAAUUGCAGAAUCCCGUGAACCAUCGAGUUUUUGAACGCAAGUUGCGCCCAAAGCCUUUCGGCCAAGGGCACGUCUGCCUGGGCGUCACAC